AGGCGGCAGCGGAAGGUGGGAGCGACGACUGCAAAACGGCAGCGAUGGGCUCCCGCAACCUCCGGAGCUUGUGCGCGUACUUCAGGGACCGGCACCACGUCACCGUCACCUCCUGAGUAGUCAAAAGCAAGAAAUAGGAAGAAACACAAGCAUACUAUAAAAUAAAAGUCUGAAAAUUCAAAAGAGAAGCAAUUUAAAGGACUUCCAUUUACUUCUUUCCCCUCUAAUCUGCACAAAAGGUUAAAUGUAGCAGUGCAGCAGUUCUGGCCAUCAAAAUAUGAUUAUUGUACUUUAAAAGCAGCCAUGAGAACUCUGCUCUUUGAUAGACUUCAACUUGCAACAACUAAGUAGUUUUUAUGGAACAGGUGGUGUUUGGUUAUGUGGAUAGGUUUUUUGGAAUACUACUCAGCCAUAAAACGGAACAAAAUAAUGGAAUUCCCAGCAACCUGGAUGGAGUCGGAGACCAUUAUUCUAAGUGAAGUAACUCAGUGAGAACAAAUAUCGUAUGUUCUCACUUAUAAGUGGGAGCUCUUAAA
rnacentral:lncRNA from 1 species